rnacentral:piRNA from 1 species
UCCCCUGUGUCACAUCAACUAGCCUCUGUC